UACGAAGGGGGCUAGCGUUGCUCGGAAUUACUGGGCGUAAAGGGCGCGUAGGCGGAUAUUUAAGUUGGGGGUGAAAUCCCGGGGCUCAACCUCGGAAUUGCCUUCAAAACUGGAUAUCUUGAGUUCGGGAGAGGUGAGUGGAACUCCGAGUGUAGAGGUGAAAUUCGUAGAUAUUCGGAAGAACACCAGUGGCGAAGGCGGCUCACUGGUCCGGUACUGACGCUGAGGUGCGAAAGCGUGGGGAGCAAACAGG
rnacentral:rRNA from 1 species